CACGUAGGGCGCGAGCGUUGUCCGGAAUUAUUGGGCGUAAAGAGCUCGUAGGCGGCCUGUUGCGUCCGCUGUGAAAGCCCGGGGCUUAACCCCGGGUCGGCAGUGGAUACGGGCAGGCUAGAGGUAGGUAGGGGAGAAUGGAAUUCCCGGUGUAGCGGUGAAAUGCGCAGAUAUCAGGAGGAACACCGGUGGCGAAGGCGGGUCUCUGGGCCGAUACUGACGCUGAGGAGCGAAAGCGUGGGGAGCAAACAGG
rnacentral:rRNA from 1 species